rnacentral:rRNA from 1 species
UACGGGGGGAGCAAGCGUUGUUCGGAUUUACUGGGCGUAAAGGGCGCGUAGGCGGCCACGCCAAGUCAGUUGUGUAAUCUCUGGGCUUAACUCAGAGCGGUCAACUGAUACUGUCGGGCUAGAGUGCAGAAGGGGCAACUGGAAUUCUCGGUGUAGCGGUGAAAUGCGUAGAUAUCGAGAGGAACACCUGCGGCGAAGGCGGGUUGCUGGGCUGACACUGACGCUGAGGCGCGAAAGCUAGGGGAGCGAACGGG